ACUCCUACGGGAGGCAGCAGUGAGGAAUAUUGGUCAAUGGACGAAAGUCUGAACCAGCCAUGCCGCGUGCAGGAUGACGGCCCUAUGGGUUGUAAACUGCUUUUUAUAAGGGGAACUAAACCCCCGACGUGUCGGGGGCUGAAGGUACCUUACGAAUAAGGAUCGGCUAACUCCGUGCCAGCAGCCGCGGUAAUACGGAGGAUCCAAGCGUUAUCCGGAUUUAUUGGGUUUAAAGGGUCCGCAGGCGGGUUAUUAAGUCAGUGGUGAAAUCCUGCAGCUUAACUGUAGAACUGCCAUUGAUACUGGUAAUCUUGAGUGUAGUUGAGGUGGCGGAAUGUGUCAUGUAGCGGUGAAAUGCAUAGAUAUGACACAGAAACACCGAUUGCGAAGGCAGCUCACUAAAGCUAUUACUGACGCUCAUGGACGAAAGCGUGGGAGCGAACAGGAUUAGAUACCCCUGGUAGACUGUCA
rnacentral:rRNA from 1 species